AUGCGGAGGUUGCAAGCGUUAUUCGGAAUCACUGGGCGUAAAGGACGCGUAGGCGGGUUGGCAAGUCAGAUGUGAAAUCCUACAGCUUAACUGUAGAACUGCAUUUGAAACUGCUAACCUAGAGUAUGGGAGGGGGAGAUGGAAUUAGUGGUGUAGGGGUAAAAUCCGUAGAUAUCACUAGGAAUACCGAAAGCGAAGGCGAUCUCCUGGAACAUAACUGACGCUAAGGCGUGAAAGCGUGGGGAGCAAACAGGAUUAGAAACCCUAGUAGUCC
rnacentral:rRNA from 1 species